CAGAUAGUUAAGCGUUUGCACGGCACAAACGGGUCUAUUAAAAGUUAAAAAACAUUAAGAAACGACCACUUAUAAGUUCGUUUAGCACCUGGCUGAUAAGGGCACAAGCUCUUACGGUGUGUUCAGAGUGUGUUAUCAAGGGUUUUAUUGGAGCAACGUUACCUUCUGUUCAGCACAAAAAUAAACACCUAUGAACCAUCA